rnacentral:rRNA from 1 species
AAACUUUACAAUGCGGGAAACCGUGAUAAGGGAACCCCGAGUGCCCGUAAAUCCGGGCUGUCCAUCUGUAUAAAUAGCAGGUGAAGAAAGGGCCGGGCAAGACCGGUGCCAGCCGCCGCGGUAAUACCGGCGGCUCGAGUGGUGGCCACUAUUACUGGGCUUAAAGCGUCCGUAGCUGGAUUGUUAAGUCUCCUGGGAAAUCCACCGGCUCAACCGAUGGGCGUUCAGGGGAUACUGGCAAUCUAGGGACCGGAAGAGGUGAGAGGUACUCCAGGGGUAGGAGUGAAAUCCUGUAAUCCUUGGGGGACCACCUGUGGCGAAGGCGUCUCACCAGGACGGCUCCGACAGUGAGGGACGAAAGCUGGGGGAGCAAACCGG